CACGUAGGGGGCGAGCGUUGUCCGGAUUUAUUGGGCGUAAAGAGCUCGUAGGCGGCUCGGUAAGUCAGGUGUGAAAACUCUAGGCUCAACCUAGAGACGCCACCUGAUACUGCCGUGGCUAGAGUCCGGUAGGGGAGCAUGGAAUUCCUGGUGUAGCGGUGAAAUGCGCAGAUAUCAGGAAGAACACCUAUGGCGAAGGCAGCUCUCUGGGACGGUACUGACGCUGAGACGCGAAAGCGUGGGGAGCGAACAGG
rnacentral:rRNA from 1 species